GCAUUACUAUUUUGUCAAGUAUUACAAAAGUCAUCUCGAUUUUGUCGAAGUAUUACCGAAGUCAUCUGAAUAGGAUACUCGAACUUCUUAUAUUAUACUAUCUCCACAACUUUGGUAUGCUUGCAAAGGAUUCAACAAGAUGAUUGAAAAAUAAAAUGUUUUUAGUAGUCACAUUUUUUCUCUCUCUAUAACGGUGUUGUGCGCGGUGGCGGCAAGAGAGGCGACCACCAUGAGAAACCAAUCGAGGUAGUCGGAGCAGACGAAGAGGCGGGAGAUAAAAACAGCGGCAAGUGACCCCAAUGCUACUCCGACCCUGACUCUUGCUUCAUCGCCUGGGAUCCGCAAUUGGUUUGACUCCCUCUCUGCUACGCCACUGCAACAACCGUCAUCCUACAAAGACAAAAGCGACGGUGAAUCUUGCAAGCUGAGAAACCAAUUGCAGAUUAGGGGGAGGGGAGGUGGCCGUAAAUAUGUUAUGAUUUUUUUGUUUGUUGGUCAGAUGUAGAUCUUCUGUCCAUGAAGGUUAGAUCUGGCUGGGGAGAUGUGGGCGCGAAGGCGGUUUUCGAGGGCAUAACAUUCAGACUGAUGGGGCACAAGUGCGAGAGGUGAAGGACUCAAGUGGAGAUUUUUGUGCAGAAGACAGAGAUGCUCCGUUUGGCAGCGCUUAGAGGGGAUUUAGGGUUAGGCUUAAUCAG
rnacentral:lncRNA from 1 species